rnacentral:ncRNA from 1 species
UAUUUUGCUAUGAAUAGAAGUAGUAAUAAUAAAUUGUAUCUUUAGAGAGCUAUUGGUUGCUGUAAAAUAGUGUUACUUUAUUAUGAACUUGUCUAGGAGCUUACUUGUUAAAAACAAGUACGGGUAAAUAUCCGUUAAAAAUAUGAAGUGGGAAGAUUAAAUUAUAUUUUUUCUUCUAAUAAGAGUGGUACCGCGGAAAUUUUGCUUUCGUCUCUUAA